rnacentral:tRNA from 1 species
GCAUGGUGGAGCAGCGGUAACGUAACUGACUGACAAUCGGUCGACUCGGGUUUCGAUUCCCACCAUUGCG